CUGUAUUGCUGGUGUUUUUUCUCUCCAUAAAACAACUGACACAAAUGAGAAUGAACAAGACGAAACGGCACUGGACUUUGACCCUCGGAGAACAUGACCAUGUGAAAAUGAGAACGGAACAGUAGAGAGAGACCCAGAGCAACUUACAAU